GGAGGGAUCAUUAGAAUAGUGUAACAACUUUCUUUUAUAAACUUGGUUACUGUUUUUGGGAUUUCGUCGUAAUGGACGGCCCAUUUGAAACAAAAAAACUAUUAAAAACUCAAUUAAACUCUUCAAUUUUCAAUUUCGCGGUAGUUUUAUUAUUACCAACAAACAACAGAAAUGAACAAACGACUCGCAACAACGGAUAUCUUGGUUCUCGCAACGAUGAAGAACGCAGCGAAAUGCGAAACGUAAUGCGAAUUGCAGAAUACAGUGAAUCAUCAAAUGUUUGAACGCAUAUGGCGCUUUUGCUAACAGCAAGAGCACGUCUUCAUGAGAGUCGCUUUUAACCUCUUCCUUGUGGUUUUUUUUUAAAAUCACAAGGAAGGAGAAUGCGGUGUUUCCCAUCUUUAACCAUAGGAAUCCCGUGAAAACCAGAGGGCCCUUACAAUGGAACUUAACAAUGAUGAUUGAAUUCGUCUUGUCGAGCUCACCUUUGUUCAGGUGCAACAGUGGAUACUGCCAUCUAGCAUGGCUUUCCUAUUGUUGUACUGUCAAAGAAACGAGACGACAGCGAAACAAACGUCUGUUCUAAUGUGAACCCAUCCAACCCAAUCGAUUCCUUUACUAAACCUAGAAGAAUCCAACAUCUAAAGACCUCAUGUAAAACGAGAGAACCCGCUGAACUUAAGCAUAUUAUUAAGCGGAGGAAAAGAAACUAACAAGGAUUCCCUCAGUAACGGCGAGUGAAGCGGGAAGAGCUCAAGUCGAAAAUCGGUGCCCCUCGCGGAGCAUCGAAUUGUGGCCUCGAGACAUCUUGUCAUGGCGACCUUGGAAACCAAGUCCCCUGGAACGGGGCAUCAAAGAGGGUGAGAAUCCCGUCUCUGUUUCCAAAUGGUCCCAGUACGACAGGUGUUCACAGAGUCGUGUUGCUUGGGAGUGCAGCACAAAGUGGGUGGUACACGUCAUCCAAAGCUAAAUACAGGCGAGAGACCGAUAGUGUAAAAGUACUUUGAAGGAAAGAUUAAAAGCACCUGGAAACGGGAGUGAAAAAGAGCUUGAAAUUGUUGCGAGGUAAGCACUGGUGUAGGUUUAUAAGGUGUGCGUUUGUUUUUGUGUUUGUGUGUCGGUUGAAGGUCUUAGUGAGAUGUCAAAGUCCACUCUGGCCAGCACUCCGAUAUACAAUAGAUACUACAAGCGUACACCCGUUGGCAUCGCUUUGGUCAUUGCGGGAAAGAAAGUAUGGGGUAAGGUAGCGGAGCUUCGCCGACAAGGACGAAUGCACCGAAUCAUACAGACCUCAUACCGACGCCCGCCCCAGAGCGACCCCUCUCAUUCGCGAGGGAAACGUUGCGUCAACGCCGGGGUUCUUGAACGAGUCUAGCGACGGUCUGGUCAAUGAUCAUGCCGUUCGGGCUCGGGCAUCGUUACUUCGGCGCCAUAGCGCGACCAAGCCAACGCUAUCUCAUUAAAAGCCCACCAAUGACCCGUCUUGAAACACGGACCAAGGAGUCCAACGUUUGUGCGAGUAUUUGAGUGUUUAAAACUCGAAUGCGCAGUGAAAGCAAAGUUUCGCGUACGCGAAAUGAGGUGUCAUCUCUUGGUGUUAUAGCCAGGAGAGCAGCAUCGGCCGGCCCCGGAGUUUUUGGGGACUGAGCACGAGCACCAAUGUUGGGACCCGAAAGAUGGUGAUCUUUGCUUGGGCAUGGCAAAGCCAGGGGAAACCCUGGUGGAGGCUAGCAGCGAUACUGACGUGCAAAUCGUUCGUCGGAUCUGAGUAAAGGGGCGAAAGACUAAUCGAACCAUCUAGUAGCUGGUUCCCUC
rnacentral:misc_RNA from 1 species